CAAGCCAAAYUAAGGUGAAACCGCGAAAGGCUCAUUAAAUCAGUUAUGGUUCCUUAGAUCGUACCCACAAUUACUUGGAUAACUGUGGUAAUUCUAGAGCUAAUACAUGCAAACAGAGCUCCGACCGGAGACGGGAGGAGUGCUUUUAUUAGAUCAAAACCAAUCGGUGGCGGGUUCGCUCGUUAUCGUACAACUUGGUGACUCUGAAUAACUUUACGCUGAUCGCACGGUCAUCGCACCGGCGACGCAUCUUUCAAAUGUCUGCCUUAUCAACUGUCGAUGGUAGGUUCUGCGCCUACCAUGGUUGUAACGGGUAACGGGGAAUCAGGGUUCGAUUCCGGAGAGGGAGCCUGAGAAACGGCUACCACAUCCAAGGAAGGCAGCAGGCGCGCAAAUUACCCACUCCCGGCACGGGGAGGUAGUGACGAAAAAUAACGAUACGGGACUCAUCCGAGGCCCCGUAAUCGGAA
rnacentral:rRNA from 1 species